rnacentral:rRNA from 1 species
UACGUAGGGUGCAAGCAUUAUCCGGAGUGACUGGGCGUAAAGAGUUGCGUAGGUGGUUAGUAAAGCGAAUAGUGAAACCUGGUGGCUCAACCAUACAGACUAUUAUUCGAACUCACUAACUCGAGAGUGGUAGAGGUAACUGGAAUUUCUAGUGUAGGAGUGAAAUCCGUAGAUAUUAGAAGGAACACCAAUGGCGUAGGCAGGUUACUGGACCAUUUCUGACACUGAGGCACGAAAGCGUGGGGAGCGAACCGG